GCACUUAACUGGCAGGGGAGAUACCAUGAUCACGAAUGUGAUCCAGGUCGAGGCUUAUCCAUUGCACUCUGGAUGUGCUGACCCUUGCGAUUUCCUCAAAUGUGGGAAACUUGACUGCAUAAUUUGUGGUAGUGGGGGACUGUGUUUGUGCUCUCCCCUU
ensembl:snRNA U1 U1 spliceosomal RNA